GUUGCAUUUCAAUUAUGACCAACAAAAUACCUUUCGAAAUUGGACUUGCUGUUGAUAUGCAUCCUCGAUUUGAGGUUCAUCCAAAAUUCCCACACUACAUUCUCUGAUUGAAGGUUAUUUAUGCAAAUAAAGUAUUCAUGUCUAAUCAAGGCUUCAACAAGACACCAUUUCGGAAUUAUACACCCUGCAUAAAUAACAGUGAGGAUGUGUUGCGGAAGAAAUUUAAUUGUAAGCAAGCUAGAUUGCGACGAUUUUGCAUUCUAAAAUCUAAACGCUAUAAGUGUUUCAAGGUUUCUCCAUGUGAGGUGCAAAAUCGAAUGAAUGGUGAAUCAACAUCGAGCUGCAUUUGAAUCCCACUUUCAGAUGUCACACUGAUUGCUUCCAGGAAAUAACUCAUCAAUAAAAUUGUUUCCGACGGGAAAAUCAUUGAUUCUAUAUUACAAGCAACUAAACUGUCAACAUCCGAACACACCUUUCGUACACCACAGAAAGUGGCAAAUAUUCAUAAUUCUGGCACAAACCUUAUGUCUAGGUUCUCCGAUGUUGCCUCACUGAGCCACAAGGAAAAUGUCAAUCCUGAAUUACAAUUAAACACAACAGUACCUAUGAUUUCUCAAGUAAAUCCCAAUGAUUAUACAAUAUCAAGCCAUGUUAUGUUUGAUUCAAAACCUAACUCAGUCAAGCGUGGAAGAGGUCGUCCGAAGAAAGCUACUUCAUGUAAAGAACCAGACAUACCAUUUACACACUCUAACAAUGUUUCUAUCAAACACAGUGUUAAUCAUAUGUGAGUAAUAAUAUAGCUAUCCAUAAGCAUAUGAGUCUUUCCUGAUAUAAUAUAUUCUAAUCAUCAUUUUUCAAACACCUAUGUUUUCCAGCAACACAAAUAUUUAGUUCAUAUCACCACCCUUUGUUGUCCCUAAAUUACGGUUCACAGCAAAUACGGUUGCAACUACUAAACAACCAACAUUACCAAUAUUUGCACCUACAUCUAAUUUGGAAUUGGAUGGUGAAAAUGAAGAAGGUUCUGAC